UACGAAGGGGGCUAGCGUUGUUCGGAAUUACUGGGCGUAAAGCGCACGUAGGCGGGUUGUUAAGUCAGGGGUGAAAUCCUGGAGCUCAACUCCAGAACUGCCUUUGAUACUGAGGAUCUUGAGUUCGGGAGAGGUGAGUGGAACUGCGAGUGUAGAGGUGAAAUUCGUAGAUAUUCGCAAGAACACCAGUGGCGAAGGCGGCUCACUGGCCCGAUACUGACGCUGAGGCACGAAAGCGUGGGGAGCAAACAGG
rnacentral:rRNA from 1 species